rnacentral:rRNA from 1 species
CCUGGUUGAUCUUGCCAGUAGUCAUAUGCUUGUCUCACAGAUUAAGCCAUGCAAGUGAAAGUACAUAUGUAAAUAAUAUAUUGAAACUGCGAACGGCUCAUUAAAACAGUUAUAAUCUACUUGAUGUUUUUAAUAUAAGGAUAACUACGGAAAAUCUGUAGCUAAUACUUGUGAAAAUACCUUUUGAUAUAUACAUAUAUAUAUAUAUGUAUGUAUCAUUAAGGUAUGUAUUUGUUAGAUAUAAGAAUAAAAUAAAUAUAAUUGAAUUAUAACAAAGAAGAAACACAUAAAAUAUGUGUAUUAUCAAUCGAGUAUCUGACCUAUCAGCUUUUGAUGUUAGGGUAUUGACCUAACAUGGCUAUGACGGGUAACGGGGAAUUAGAGUUCGAUUCCGGAGAGGGAGCCUGAGAAAUAGCUACCACAUCUAAGGAAGGCAGCAGGCGCGUAAAUUACCCAAUUCUAAAAAAGAGAGGUAGUGACAAGAAAUAACAAUACAAUAUCGAAAAAUGAUUUUGUAAUUGGAAUGAUAGGAAUUUACAAGGUUCCUAGAGAAACAAUUGGAGGGCAAGUCUGGUGCCAGCAGCCGCGGUAAUUCCAGCUCCAAUAGCAUAUAUUAAAAUUGUUGCAGUUAAAACGUUCGUAGUUGAAUAUUAAAGAAUCCGAUGUUUCAUUUAAACUGGUUUGGGAAAACCAAAUAUAUUAUAUAUUUUGCUUUGUUCAAAAUAAGGUUUUCUAAUAAAUUAUGUUUUUAUCAGAUAUGACAGAAUCUUUUUUAAAAUCUCUUCAAUAUGCUUUUAUUGCUUUUGAGAGGUUUUGUUACUUUGAGUAAAAUUAAGUGUUCAUAACAGACGGGUAGUCAUGAUUGAGUUCAUUGUGUUUGAAUACUACAGCAUGGAAUAACAAAUAUGAAUAAGCUAAUUAUUUUUUUUUUUCAUAAUUUUUUUUGAUAUUCUUAUUAGCUUAGUUACGAUUAAUAGGAGUAGCUUUGGGGGCAUUCGUAUUCAGAUGUCAGAGGUGAAAUUCUAAGAUUUUCUGGAGACGGACUACUGCGAAAGCAUUUGCCUAAUCUAUUUCCAUUAAUCAAGAACGAAAGUUAAGGGAGUGAAGACGAUCAGAUACCGUCGUAAUCUUAACCAUAAACUAUACCGACUAGGUGUUGGAUGAAUAUAAAAAAUAUAUAAAUAUGUAGCAUUUCUUAGGGAAUGUUGAUUUUAUAUUAGAAUUGCUUCCUUCAGUACCUUAUGAGAAAUCAAAGUCUUUGGGUUCUGGGGCGAGUAUUCGCGCAAGCGAGAAAGUUAAAAGAAUUGACGGAAGGGCACCACCAGGCGUGGAGCUUGCGGCUUAAUUUGACUCAACACGGGAAAACUCACUAGUUUAAGACAAGAGUAGGAUUGACAGAUUAAUAGCUCUUUCUUGAUUUCUUGGAUGGUGAUGCAUGGCCGUUUUUAGUUCGUGAAUAUGAUUUGUCUGGUUAAUUCCGAUAACGAACGAGAUCUUAACCUGCUAAUUAGCGGUAAGUACACUAUAUUUUUAUUUGAAAUUGAAUAUAGGUAAUUAUACAUGUUUAUUCAGUGUUCAAAUUAGGAUAUUUUUUUAUUAAAAUAUUCUUUUCCCUGUUCUACUAUAAUAAUUUGUUUUUUUUUACUCUAUUUCUCUCUUCUUUUAAGAAUGUACUUGUUUGAUUAAAUAAAGCUUCUUAGAGGAACAGUGUGUAUCUAACACAAGGAAGUUUAAGGCAACAACAGGUCUGUGAUGUCCUUAGAUAAACUAGGCUGCACGCGUGCUACAAUGAUAUAUAUAACAAGUUGUUAAAAAUGUACUUAUAAAUAAGUGUGUACAGUUUUUCCUGUACUGAAAAGUAUAGGUAAUCUUUAUCAGUAUAUAUCGUAAUUGGGAUAGAUUAUUGCAAUUAUUAAUCUUGAACGAGGAAUGCCUAGUAAGCAUGAUUCAUUAGAUUGUGCUGACUACGUCCCUGCCCUUUGUACACACCGCCCGUCGCUCCUACCGAUUGAAAGAUAUGAUGAAUUGUUUGGAUAUGAAUUAAAAUAAUGAAAUUUUAUAUUUCUGAUUUUUUCUAGAAGAACUGUAAAUCCUAUCUUUUAAAGGAAGGAGAAGUCGUAACAAGGUUUCCGUAGGUGAACCUGCGGAAG